CUUAACAAAUCAGAGGUGCGGCGCCCAACUCUACUGUUCCUUCAUCUUCCCCACUCUCAACUCGCCCAACUCACCAUUAACUCACCCGAGUUCACUCAAAAUGGUUCUCCCCUCCACGUCAUUUGAUUCCCAACGGUUUUGUCAGAGAGGGGUACAAAUUUUCUCUCCAAAAUUGCACGAUUUAUGUACAAAAAGGACGAUUGUACGACGAAUGGGAGCCACAGAUAGAUGUGAAUCAAUCCACGCCCUCCAUAUGUCCCAAAAUUGUUCGAAAACUUGGGAGAUUUUUCGGAUUUUGGGCAGAUUUCUUAAAGAUCUUGAAGACUAUAUAUAUGAGAGUUUGAUCGAUUCUCAAAUCAGUGCAUUCGUGAUUCCGACUCGUAUUCGUGAUUCAUGUGCGGGUUCUUGUUGCUGCUGAACCUUAUUGAGAUUUUGGAGCUGUGUUUCUUUUAGCUGUUUUCUGCUCAUAGCUUAAUCGGGCUGGGUUGAAGUAAAGAAGAGCUUACAAUUCAGUCAUUUGGGACCAGGGAUAUACUUCUUUGUUGUUUAUUCUGAUGUAAUCAGGUAUGACACUUUGGGUUGAAUGAUAUAAAGCUCAUAUUUUCUUAGGUGAGAUUUGUAUGGGAUGAUUGUGGUUUUACUUGUUUCAUUUCCACGAUUGAUUGAUAGCAAAUUCUUGUUUUCCUUUUGCGAGUUUGCUAAGCUAUGAUUUUGGUUGAUUUUGA